rnacentral:lncRNA from 1 species
CUCAAUGCUACGAGAAGCCCAAGCCCUGUGGAGAGACCAUGGAAGUGGCUUGGGUCAAUAGUCCCAGCAGAGCUGAGCCUUCAAGUCUUCCUAGCCCAGGCACCAGAGAUGGGAGAGAGGAACUCUCCAGGUGAUAACACAGCCUGCAUCGCGAAUCCAGGAGAAAAGGAUGGUCUUCCCAGGAAAUGGUGCCAGAAUAACUCGCUAUUCAUAUGGAAGAAAAUGAAAAUGAUUCCGUAUGUCAUCCCACACAUUAAAAAUCCAUUCCAGAUGGAUUAAGGAUUUAAAUAUAAAUGGGAUGCCCGGAAGAAGCCUUGCAUCUGGAUAUCAGCCACAGACACGGAGAUACUCAAAGAAGCAUUGUGCACCUGGAGAGAAACCAGAUCGCCAUUAACAAUCGAACAUAGAAACAUUGGCUGGGGGCGGUGGCUCACGCCUGUAAUUCCAGCACUUUGGGAAGCCGAGGCCGGGCGGAUCACUUGAAGUCAGGAGUUCAAGAUCAGCCUGGCCAACAUGGUGAAACCCUGUCUCUACUAAAAAUACAAAAAUUAGCUGGGUUUGGUGGCUCACACCUAUAAUCCCAGAUAGUCAGGAGGCUGAGGCAGAAGAAUCGCAUGAACCCAGGAGGUGGAGGUUGCAGUGAGCUGAGAUUGCGCCACUGCACUCCAGCCUGGGUGACAGAGCAAGACUCUGUCUCAAAAAAGAAAAUAGAAGCGUUGUAACAUGAAGAUGAUCAUAUGCUAUACAGCAGCCCCCGCUUAUCUGCGGUUCCACUUUCUGUGGUUUCAGUUACCCGUGGUCAACCUCGGUCCGAAAAUAAUUGAAAAGUUCCAGAAAUAAACAAUUAAUGAGUUUUAAAUUGUGUGCCGUUCUGAGAGCACGAUGUUUAGUCUGCCUUGCCUUGCAUUUGUCCUGGAAACUCCAAUAAAGCCUCUGGCCCAGUGCUGUCUUUGCCCCUGCUUCUACCUCCUCACCCAAGGGUGUACACUCCACAGGGUGUGCAGGAAGCAUGACGCAGGCAUCUGCACGGCUUCCUGGUGCUGCCUCCGUGGCCCUCUGUGGCACUGUGUGAUGCCUUGUCUUGGAAUUGUAAGUAAUCAAUUCUUUCUUUCUAUGUCAUCAGUCACCCCCAUAAAUUAACAUCCCUGCUUCAAUCAUUGAGGCUGGGGGGUUUGAUCAGGAAGGAGCAUGCAGAGUGUCGGGGGUAACAGCAGUAUUCUAUUUCUUAAAUGGAUUGGUGAGUUCAAGGGUAUUUAUUGUUAUUCUUCAGACUGUACAUAUAUGCCUUUGUCUCUAUGGCAUGUUCCACAAUAAAAAUGAAAAAAAUCCAUAAUUACUAUCAUUUCCUACAAAAGUAACACAUCAUUGUACCAAUGUUAAUGUCUUAGUUUUGAUAAAUGUCCUAUGGUGAUGUAAGAUGUUAACAUGAGGGGAACCGGAGAAAAGGAAUACUGGAAUUUUUCAUACUGUCUUUGCAACUCUUCUGUAAAGCUAAAAUUAUUUCAAGAUAAAACGCUGCUACAAAGCAAUGCAGAAGCUGAAGCAUGCAGAGCCUUGGAGGUCACUUUAAAGUGUUUGGGUUUUGUUCUCUGAGCAGUCGGGGGUCCCUGGAGGGUUUUCAAAAGGUGGGCAGGACCCAAUGGGUGUGAUAACAUAAAAUGCAACUUCUGAAGAAUUUCAAAUAUUGUCAUAGUUGUGGAGGCGGAACUUCCCUGUGGCCAGAUGGAGAUUGCUUUGACCACAGGCCUGUGCACCCCCGGGGUGAGGCCAUGGCCCCUGCUAGGCGGGGACACGUGGAGGGGAGCCAGAGAGAACAGAGCAUCCAUUGAUCAGCAGGACAGCUGUGGGGAGGGACAGAUCCACGGGCCGUAGGAGGGACCCUGGGAGAGAUGGGAAGGAAACGGAAGGAUAGAAGCUGCCGGGGUGGGUCGGGGAUUGGGAGGGAGGUCUGAGGGCUGAGAGAGGGCUUGGGAGCCCCCACUCCCUGCAAGCUUCCUGUGUCCCUCAGCCAAACCCUGAGCUUUCUCCCUCCUCAGGGCCCUUGCAGCCUGGCACCUCCUUACUCAGCAGAUCUCCUACCCCACACCAUGCACACACACCUGCCUCUCCUCCCUCCCUCUCUUCCUCUCCGCACCCAGAAGAGGCCCAACCCUCAACCUGCGGCCUUGCCCUCCUUUUCUGCAUUUUUUUUUGUCUUUUCAGCUUACAAGAUUUUUCAUCAUAAAAUCAGAUAAGACUCCCUCUAGAUCCCAGGUUUCCCUCCAGCCACCACUCUGGACUCCCUGCUCAGCCAAAGCUCCUCAAAGCUGCACGUGUCUCCUGGUGACUCUCCACCCUCCAUCCACUUCUUCUGCUCCCACCCACUUUCUACCCACAGGCCAACCCUGCCUUUGCCCAUUGUGGACCUCCCCCGGGGCUGCUUUCUCCCUCUCCAGCUCCCUGGGCUCCUGAGGCCCUAUAGACCCCUUUGCUUAUCAUCUCCCUCACUCGACGUAAGGCCAAUGUUACGAGUUAAAUUAUGUCCCUCCUCUGAAAAUUCCUAUGUUGAAUUCCCAACCCCCACAAUAUCACAGAAUGUGACCUUAUUUGAAUAAAUAGUCUUUACAAAGGAACCCACAUUAAAAUGAGGUCAUUAGGGUAGGCCCUAAUCCAAUAGCCUGGUGUCCUUAUAAAAAGGGGAAAUGUGGGCACUCGUACAUAUGGCAAAGAUGCCACGUGAACAUGAAGACGGCCGCCCGCAAGUUAAGAAGCCAGCCUGCAACAGAGCCUCCCCUCACAGCCCUCAACAUAACCGACCCCGUUGACACCUUGAUUUCAAACUUCUAGCCCCCAGAAUGGUGAGACAAUACAUUUCUCUUGCUUAUGUGACUCCAUCUGUAGCAUUUUGUUAUGGCAGCCCUAGGAAAAGAACCCAGCCCAUGAGGGUGGCGAAGCUCUGUUCCCUUCACCAUUUCCAGUGCCAAGAACAAAGCUUGAUGCACAGUAGCAGCUUCGCAAAUAUCUGUGGGUUGGAUAUAUGAAAAAACGUAUUUCCAAACUCAGUGGACACUCCUUUUGAUUAUCCGAUAAUUAUUUUUAAAACAUAUAUUUAUUAGAGGAAUAGAAAAAUGUGAGAUUCAAAAAGUUAGUGAACAGUACAUCCUUCCAGAGAUGUUCUAGGACAGUAUAAGCACAAGAUUUUGUAUUAGUCCAUUCUUGCACUGCUAUAAAGGAAUACUUGAGACUGCAUAAUUUAUAAAGAAGAGAUAUUUGGCUCACGAUUCCACAGGGUGGACAGGAAGCAGGAUGCUGGCAUCUGCUUGGCUCCUGGGGAGGCCUCAGGAAACUUACAAUCAUGGUGGAAGGCGAAGGGGAAGCCAGCACUUCACAUGGCUGGAGCAGGAGGAAGAGAAAGAGCAGGGAGGUGCCACACACUUAACCAGAUCUUGUGAGAACUCACUCAUUAUACAGUACCAAGGGGGGAUGGUGAUAAUCAUUCAUGGAAACUCUGCCCCCAUGAUCCGAUCACCUCCCACCAGGCCCCACCUCCAACCCUGGGGAUUACAAUUCUACAUGAGAUUUGGUGGGAACAGAGAUCCAAACCAUAUCAGCUAUCGUGUGUUAUGUAGUUGGGGGGCCUUUAAAAAGCUUCCACAAAUCUUUGUGAAUGAAACAUACUGCUGAGAACUUCAUGUUUACACUUUCUUUGUCUUGGGGAUGCCAGCCUCAGAUGGUCCCCAGGAAUCCCUGCCUUCAUGAAUAUCCCCUCCCACACUGGAUAGGGCUGACCGUGCUAGGACAUUGUGGAAAUAGUGUGUGACUUCUGAGGUUAGGUCAUGAGACACGGUGGCCCAUGGUGCUCCCUCUGGGAUCACUCGAUCUGGGGGAGACCAUGCUGUGAGGACACUCAGGCAGCCCUGUGGAGAGGUCUACAGGAUGAGGAACUGAGGCCUCCUGGCAACACCAGCACCAGCUCAUCAGCCAUGUGAGUGAGCCAUCUUGGAAGUGGAUCCGUCAGCCCCUGUUGAGCCUUCAGAUGACUGCAGCCCUGGCCAGCAGCAUUGUGACUGCAACCUCAUGAGAGGCUCUGAGCCAGAGCCACCCAGCUAAGCCAUUCCGGAAUUCCUGGACCACAGAAACUGUUCAUUGCCACUUUAAGCCCCUAGGCUGUGGAGUCAUUUGGUACCUAGCAGUAGGGAACAAAUACAACCUUUCUUUUAAUUUAAUUUUAUUUUUUGAGACAGGGUCUUGUUCUGUCACCCAGGCUGGAGUGCAGUGCUGUGAUCUCCAUGCACUGCAGCCUCGACUUCCCAGGCUCAGGUGAUCUUCCCACCUCAGACUCCCCAGUAGCUGGGACUACAGGCAUGCACCACCAUGCUUGGCUAAUUUUUGUAUUUUUUGUAGAGAUGGGGUUUCACCAUGUUGCCCAGGCUGGUCUUGAACUCCUGGGCUCAAGUGAUCUGCCUACCUUGGCCUCCCAAAGUACUGGGAUUACAGGCAUAAGCCACUGCACCUGGCCUCUUUUAAUUUUUAUUUUUAGAGAUGGGGGGAUCUUGU